rnacentral:rRNA from 1 species
GAUGAACGCUGGCGGCGUGCCUAAUACAUGCAAGUCGAGCGAACGGACGAGAAGCUUGCUUCUCUGAUGUUAGCGGCGGACGGGUGAGUAACACGUGGAUAACCUACCUAUAAGACUGGGAUAACUUCGGGAAACCGUAGCUAAUACCGGAUAAUAUUUUGAACCGCAUGGUUCAAAAGUGAAAGACGGUCUUGCUGUCACUUAUAGAUGGAUCCGCGCUGCAUUAGCUAGUUGGUAAGGUAACGGCUUACCAAGGCAACGAUGCAUAGCCGACCUGAGAGGGUGAUCGGCCACACUGGAACUGAGACACGGUCGCGACUCCUACGGGAGGCAGCAGUAGGGAAUCUUCCGCAAUGGGCGAAAGCCUGACGUAGCAACGCCGCGUGAGUGAUGAAGGUCUUCGGAUCGUAAAACUCUGUUAUUAGGGAAGAACAUAUGUGUAAGUAACUGUGCACAUCUUGACGGUACCUAAUCAGAAAGCCACGGCUAACUACGUG